GAGGAAUGGGAGGCCAGUAUGGCCUGCCCGCUGAUAAUUAUUGAAGGGCUGCGGUAUUUUGACCGUGCAAAGGUAGCGUAAUAGUUAGUUUUUUAAUUGAAAUCUUGUAUGAAUGGUCGGACAAAGGAAAGAUUGUCUCUGUAUUUAAGAGUUUAAAUUAACUUUUAAGUGAAAAGGCUUAAAUCUAUUAAGAAGACGAUAAGACCCUAUAAAACUUAAUAUAAACAACUAUUUAACAAAGUUUUAUAAAAUAUAAAGGUUCAGUAUAAAGUUUAUAUUAUAUUGGGGAGAUAAAAACAAAAUGUUUGUUAACUGUUUAAAAUUUAGGCAAAUGUAAGUGAUUGGUAUAAAUAAAUGAUCCUAACUAGAGAUUAAAAGUUUAAGUUACUUUAGGGAUAACAGCGUUAUUUUUCUUGAGAGUUCUUAUCGAAAGAAAAGUUUGCGACCUCGAUGUUGAAUUAAAAUACCUAUAUAAUUGCAGCAGUUAUAUUAGUAGGUCUGUUCGACCUUUAAAAUUUUACGUGAUCUAGUCCCAAAACGGGGUAAUUAAAAAUUUACAGGCGAGAGGCGGACCGCAAA
rnacentral:rRNA from 1 species